AUGCUUGCUUCGACAGCACAUAUACAAAAUUGGAAUAGUACAGAGAAGAAUAGCAUGGCCCCUGCACAAGGAUGACACACAAAUUUGUGAAGCAUUCCAUAUUGGU
rnacentral:snRNA from 1 species